rnacentral:lncRNA from 1 species
AUUGUUAAUUAAUUUCCAAAUUCUAAUUGCGGUCAUAAAUUAAUGUUUGAAGGCGCUGGGCUACUAAGAAAAAUCUCAUUGAUUCAUUGUCAAAUAUGACGGUGUUUAAUUGUCAAAAAAAGGAAAAUUAUGACAUUUUUUUAAAAAUUUUAAGUUGUUAAAAAAACAUGUAGACGGGUAAAAAAAAGUGUAAAUGGUUAAAAAAUGAGUAAACAGAUAUAUACGGUUAUGGUUAACUGGGUACGCAGUUAUGAGUAUGGAUAAUUGUUUACAAACAAUUAUAGAUAUGUGUAUACCCGUUUAUGCAAUUACCCAACGAGUAAACGGUUAUAUAAGUAAAAUAUUAAAUGCUUAUGAAUAAAUAACCGCAGUUACCCGCCCGUCAUAACCAUUGUCUAUCCCUUACUCACAUCCUAUUGUCACCCAUCGAUGUUGAAUUCAUUGUCUAACAAUGACUCUCACCAUAAUAUUUGCGAGAUAUCUAACGAACAAAUACUAGUGCAAAUUUAGAAAUUCAUCUGACAAACAAAGCUGAUAUAUUGCAUCUCUUUGAAUCCAUUGAACUGCAAUAUAACUUCUAUUGCAACCAUGUUAUUAGAAUAAGCAACUAGUGUUAAUUAGAAAAAUAAAAUUUGUAAUUUCAAAAACUUUAGUUUAAUGUGUAAAAUAAUUUUACGUGUCAAGUGAUGAGGAAAGAAGACAAAACUGGAAAGGAAAAAGAGAGAGAUGGUUAGCAUUAGAUAUGGCAUUCGUGUCGUGUUUUCCGUGUUCGUGUCGUUUUCGUGGCAUAUCCGAUAUCUUAACGGGUCGUGUCGUGUAACACCCGUUAAAAUAAACGGGUAAAAUGACCCGACCCGAAAUCGACCCGAUAAUAUUAACAGGUAAUAUGACCCAACCCGUUACCCGUUAAGGAAAAUAUAUUUUAAACCAAUAAAUAAUCAAAUGAAAAACAUAAUACUAAAUAAGUAUAUACAUUCCAUAUUAUCACAUCCAAAACAUAAAAACGCAAUUUUGUUUUAAGUAUAUUUUCGCUUACCUAAAGUCUUUAAUAGUUUUUUAAUUAAUGUAAUGGAACAAAAGUUUUCGACGGUUAUAAACGAAAAAUCACAAUUUAACGGUUAUUUUAUCUCUGAUUUUGAUGAUUUUUUACAGAUAGACUCCUCGACCUAUAAGAAUGUAAUGAAUAAAUUUGAUCUUUAAUUUAAAGUAUUUACACUAGUGGAUACCACAAAAACUUAUUUUAUACUUAAUACAAGUAUAAUAUUAACUCUAAGUGUUUGUUUAAUCUACCGUUUUGAUGCAAUAUGCAUUCUACAAAACUUUUUUCAACGAUCCAACCGUCAAACAUAUUUGUACACAUUCCAAGAUCGCAUACGUAAAAAAUCAUAACAAACAACCAUUCAGAGAUUACAUAACAGAACAAAAGUUUUCGACGGUUAUAAACUAAAAAUCACAAUUUAACGGUUAAUUUAUCUCCGAUUUUGAUGAUUUUUUACAGAUACACUCCUCAAUCCUAUAAGAAUGUAAUGAAUAAAUUUGAUCUUUAAUUUAAAGUCUUUACACUAGUGGAUACCACAAAAACUUAUUUUAUACUUAAUAGAAGUAUAAUAUUAACUCUCAAUGCUUGUUUAAUCUACUGUUUUGACGCAAUAUGCAUUCUACAAAACUUUUUUCAACAAUCCAACCGUCAAACUUAUUUGUACACAUUCCGAGAUCGCAUUCGUAAAAUAUCAUGAAAAAAAAACAUUCAGAGAUUACGUAACGGAACAAAAGUUUUCGACGGUUAUAAACGAAAAAUCACAAUUUAACGGUUAUUUUAGCUCCGAUUUUGAUGAUUUUUUACAGAUACACUCCUCAACCCUAUAAGAAUGUAAUGAAUAAAUUUGAUCUUUAAUUUAAAGUAUUUACACUAGUGGAUACCACAAAAACUUAAUUUAUACUUAAUAGAAGUAUAAUAAUAUUAACUCUAAGUGUUUGUUUAAUCUACCGUUUUGACGCAAUAUGCAUUCUACGAAACUUUUUUCAACGAUCCAACCGUCAAACUUAUUUGUACACAUUCCGAGAUCGCAUACGUAAAAAAUCAUAAAAAACAAACAUUCAGAGAUUACAUAAUGGAACAAAAGUUUUCGACGAUUAUAAACGAAAAAUCAUAAUUUAACGGUUAUUUUAUCUCCGAUUUUGAUGAUUUUUUACAGAUAGACUCCUCGACCUAUAAGAAUGUAAUGAAUAAAUUUGAUUUUUAAUUUAAAGUAUUUACACUAGUGGAACUUAUUUUAUACUUAAUAAAAGUAUAAUAUUAACUCUAAGUGUUUGUUUAAUCUACUGUUUUGACGCAAUAUGCAUUCUACAAAACUUUUUUCAAUGAUCCAACCGUCAAAAUUAUUUGUACACAUUCCGAGAUCGCAUACGUAAAAAAUCAUAAAAAACAAACAUUCAGAGAUUAUGUAAUGGAACAAAAGUUUUCGACGGUUAUAAACGAAAAAUCACAAUUUAAGGGUUAUUUGAGUUCCGAUUUUGAUGAUUUUUUACAGAUACACUCCUCGACCUUAUAAGAAUGUAAUGAAUAAAUUUGAUCUUUAAUUUAAAGUAUUUACACUAGUGGAUACCACAAAAACUUUUUUUAUACUUAAUAGAAGUAUAAUAUUGACUCUAAGUGUUUGUUUAAUCUACCGUUUUGACGCAAUAUGCAUUCUACAAAACUUUUUUCAACGAUCCAACCGUCAAACUUAUUUGCACAAAUUCUGAGAUCGCAUACGUAAAAAAUCAUAAAAAACAAACAUUCAGAGAUUACGUAACGGAACAAAAGUUUUCGACGGUUAUAAACGAAAAAUCACAAUUUAACGGUUAUUUGAGUUCCGAUUUUGAUGAUUUUUUACAGAUACACUCCUCAACCCUAUAAGAAUGUAAUGAAUAAAUUUGAUCUUUAAUUUAAAGUAUUUACACUAGUGGAUACCACAAAAACGUUUUUUAUACUUAAUUAAAGUAUAAUAUUAACUUUAAGUGUUUGUUUAAUCUACUAUUUUGACACAAUAUGCAUUCUAUGAAACUUUUUUUAACGAUCCAACCAUCAAACUUAUUUGUACACAUUUCGAGAUUGCAUACGUAAAAAAUCAUAACAAAUAAACAUUCAGAGAUUACGUAACGGAACAAAAGUUUUCGACGGUUAUAAACGAAAAAUCACAAUUUAUAACGAAAAAUCACAAUUUAACGGUUAUUUUAACUCCGAUUUUGAUGAUUUUUUUACAGAUACACUCCUCGAUCAUAUAAGAAUGUAAUGAAUACAUUUGAUCUUUAAUUUAAAGUAUUUACACUAGUGGAUACCACAAAAACUUAUUUUAUACUUAAUACAAGUAUAAUAUUAACUCCAAGUGUUUGUUUAAUCUAUUGUUUUGACGCAAUAUGCAUUCUACAAAACUUUUUUCAAUGAUCCAACCGUCAAACUUAUUUGUACACAUUCCAAGAUCGCAUACGUAAAAAAUCGUAAAAAACAAACAUUCAGAGAUUACGUAAUGGAACAAAAGUUUUCGACGAUUAUAAACGAAAAAUCACAAUUUAACGGUUAUUUUAGCUCCGAUUUUGAUGAUUUUUUACAGAUACACUUCUCAACCCUAUAAGAAUGUAAUGAAUAAAUUUGAUCUUUAAUUUAAAGUAUUUACACUAGUGGAUACCACAAAAACUUAUUUUAUACUUAAUAGAAGUAUAAUAUUAACUCUAAGUGUUUGUUUAAUAUACCGUUUUGACGCAAUAUGCAUUCUACGAAACUUUUUUCAACGAUCCAACCGUCAAACUUAUUUGUACACAUUCCGAGAUUGCAAACUUAAAAAACAAACAUUCAGAGAUUACGUAACGGAACAAAAGUUUUCGACAGUUAUAAAUGAAAAAUCACAAUUUAACGGUUAUUUUAGCUUUGAU